GCCCGGCUGGCUCAGUCGGUAGAGCCUGUGACUCUUGAUCUCGGGGUUGUGGGUUCAAGACCCGCAUUGGGUG
rnacentral:tRNA from 1 species